CUUCUUUUUCUUACAAAACAAUUUUUGAAAUUUAUCAAUACCUAUUUUGCAGAAAAGUUAAUUAAUUUUUGAUGAAAUUUGCAGUCAAAAGUACCUCUAGGCCUAUAAUAUUUGUAACUAACAAAUGUGGUGAGUUAAGAUACCAAAAAUGUUGAGCAAAAAUAUCACCAACGUUUCUCUGAAUCAGUUCAUUCGUAAUUUUUCGGCUGUAUCGUUACCUGAGAGUCAUCUCCUGUUGAAAAAAACAUGCCGAAAUUUCGCAGAAAAAGAACUGAAGCCAAUCGCCCAGAAGUUGGAUAAAGAACAUUUAUUCCCCAAAGAACAAGUAUCUGCUUUAAUAAUUAACAUCUUUGAUUCGUUUUCUAUAGAGAUGCUCGUAUCACUGAAUUUUUUGGUGGGCCCAAUUAUCUUCAAUUACUCGCCAUUGCUGAGGAAACCGCCAAAGAAUAUGGUUACAUUACAAGGAUAUUUUGUAUUAUUGGUGCUGAUGAUUAUUAUUUGUAUUUUUAUUCUUUCAUUUUGUUAUGGUUAUGAUUAUGAAAUUACGUAUUAGGUACCUACGUAAUGAUAUUUUUCGUUUAAUCGAAGUGAAAAUUUGUAGUACCUAUUUAAAUUUUCCUGUGUGAGAGCGCUAAGAUCAAAUUUAUAAUUUUUUUCAAUAAAUUAAAUUAC